rnacentral:rRNA from 1 species
CCUACGGGAGGCAGCAGUAGGGAAUAUUGGUCAAUGGACGAAAGUCUGAACCAGCCAUCCCGCGUGCAGGACGACGGCCCUAUGGGUUGUAAACUGCUUUUAUACAGGAAGAAUAAGCCUUACGUGUAAGGUGAUGACGGUACUGUAAGAAUAAGGAUCGGCUAACUCCGUGCCAGCAGCCGCGGUAAUACGGAGGAUCCAAGCGUUGUCCGGAUUUAUUGGGUUUAAAGGGUGCGUAGGCGGUUUGUUAAGUCAGUGGUGAAAGUUUGCGGCUUAACCGUAAAUUGCCAUUGAAACUGACAGACUUGAAUUUGGUUGAGGUUGCCGGAAUGUGUCAUGUAGCGGUGAAAUGCUUAGAUAUGAUACAGAACACCAAUUGCGAAGGCAGGUAACUAAACCAAUAUUGACGCUGAGGCACGAAAGCGUGGGGAUCAAACAGGAUUAGAUACCCUGGUAGUCCACGCCCUAAACGUUGAUUACUCGUUGUUGGCGAUACACUGUCAGCGACGUAACGACGAAACGGACGGUUAAGGUUAACGUACCUACCGUCGGGGUAGGUACGGACCGGACCGAACGGUUAGGUAAACGUACAAACGGAAAGUUAGUACGGCGUGAGACGUGCCGAACGGACGACCGACGAGGGAGGUAGG